rnacentral:lncRNA from 1 species
CAACAACUCAAUUGAAAAAUGGGCAAAAGACCUGGAUAGACAUUUCUCCAAAGAAGACACACAGAUGGCCAACAGGCACAUGAAAAAAUGUUCAACACCACUAUUAGAGAAAUGCAAAUCAAAACUACUAUGAGGUACCACCUCACACUGGUCAGAAUGGUCAUCAUUAACAAGUUAACAAAUAACAAAUGCUAGAGAGGGCAUGGAGAAAAGAGAACCCUCCUACACUGUUGGUGGGAAUGUAAAUUGAUACAACCAUUAUGGAAAACAAUAUGGAGGUACCUCAGAAAACUAAAUAUAGAAUGACCAUAUGACCAAGCAAUCCCACUCUUGGGCAUAUAUCUGGUAAAACUUUCCUUGAAAAAGAUAUAUACACCUGUAUGUUUACUGCAGCACUAUUCACAAUAGCCAAGACAUAGAAAUAACCUAAAUGUGCAUUGACAGAUGAUUGGAUUAGGAAGAUGUGGUAUAUAUACACAAUGGAAUACUACUCAGCCAUAAAAAGAACAAAAUAAUGAUGUUUGCAGCAACAUGGAUGGAACUAGAGAUGCUCAUACUAAGUGGAGUAAGUCAGAAAGAGAAAGACAAAUACCAUAUGAUAUCACAUAUCUGGAAUCUAAAAUAUGGCACAAAUGAAACUUUCCACAGAAUAGAAAUUCAUGGACUUGGAGAACAGACCUGUAGUUGCCAAGGGGGAGGGGGAGGGGGAGAGAGUAGGAUGGACUGAGAGUCUGGGGUUAAUAGAUGCAAACUAUUGCAUUUGGAGUGGAUAAGCAAUGAGAUCCUGCUGCAUAGCAUAGGGAACUAUAUCUAGUCACUUGAGAUGGAACAUGAUGGAAGGUAAUGUGAGAAAAAGAAUAUAUAUAUAUAUAUAUAUGUGUAUGACUGGGUCACUUUGCUGUACAGUAGAAAUUGACAGAAAUUUAAUAUAAACCAAUUAUAAUAGAAAAAAUAAAAAUCAUUAAAAAAUUAAUUUUUUUUUUUAAAAAAAGGAUACCUAUCUCAAAAGGUUUUCGGAAAAACUAACAGAGGGCAAGUGUGAAAAAAUCCUUAAAGAUGCCAUAGCAAGUGGAGCUAUGAUGAUGAUUACUACAGAUUUCCUUAAAAGCUGCUCUCCACGUCUCAAAACCAAAAGCCUAGUUUGCAAAACCUUCCUCUAUUAGAGAACAAUUUACCAAAGAGUAAGAGGGUUUCAAACCAGGAUGAUGGCCUAAAAAAAAUCAAAAGGGAGACUGAGAAGGAGCUCAUGUUGAAAGCAGGACAUGAGCACGUAAUUAGGUUUUUCUGAAGGCUUAUAUUCUUCUUUCCUGUUGCCAUUUCUCUGAUUGAAAGGAUCUGCCAGUAGCUGAAACCAUUAACAUAAGUCCAUCAAGGAGGAACUAUUGUGGAGAGGAACCCCACUCUGUUAAAUUAGCCAGGCUUUUGUGUCUCUCAUAGACUAAUGCUUUAACACUUCAAUACCCAUAAUAAAGUAUUUGCACCACAAGAAAAAUGUGUUUCAUGAGCUGCAGACUAUAAUACAGAAUUCUGCUUAUAGGAGCUAUGGGUUUAAUUGUAUCCUAAGCUGAUGAUGAGUCACCACUCUGGCUUUUAGUUAGUUAAGGAAGCCAAAAAAUGCCUCAGUAAACCUAAGCUCAGAGUGCCCAGGAGGCCAAGAAAAAUGCCUGAAUGUAGACUGUUGUGUAUCACUUAAGGGUAUCGAACAAUAGGAUACCUCAACAGCCAUGACUUAUCAAAGUCCCCUGCAGAGUAAUUCCUCAUAAAGAGGUGGUGGUGCAGAAUCAUUCCACAGCUCAGAACUAGAGGGGGGAAAAAAAUAGGAUGUGCAAAAGAAAAGAAGGCUGCCAUCAACUAUGUCCACCCUUUCAGAUGUUCACCCUGGAGGCUACACUGGGAGACAAACAUCAGGCUUGCUUUCUCCUGUUUGGAAGGGCUCAGCCUUAGAGGGCUCAUUUUGGCUUCCUCAAGCCAGCACCAGCAGAGCCUUAGGAUGACAAACACUGGCUUUGGAGGCCUUGCAGCCUGAAUCAGCAUUGAUUCACUGAGCUCAUCUUCCACCUUGGGUCACCUUUUUUUAGGUUCAGAGCUUCUGCCUCUAUUUUCAAAAUGGAGAUAAUAAAAACAUGCACUUUCUAAGGUCAGAAUGCAGCUUGAAUUUCAUGAAAAGCACCUAAUAUGUGCUCAAUAAAAAGUAGUUGAUACCAUUACUGUUGUUUCUUAUUACCAUAAUUAAUAUCAAGGGAUAUCAGCAAGUCUGAGUCUCCUGUACAUGUUCAUCAAUCUUCUAUUAUAUGGCGAGCACUAUAGUACAUCCUGGGGACACAGGAGCCAGCAGGACAUACACAACCUGCACCUUUAUGAAGCUUAUGGUGUGUGUGUGUGUGUGUGUGUGUGUGGUGGCCUGCACACUCUUUAUAAAUAAAACAAAACAUAGAAAACAUUUUAAAAUUGGGUGACUUCACGCAAAAGACCAGAUUUCUGGCUUCUUUUUGAAAAUAUCAGAAAAUCUGGGAGGAAGUGAGAUCUCUCUCCAAAGGCCAACCUGCUCAAACGGAGCCCUCACACAUCCCAAAACACAGCACCAGCCUUCUGCCUGAGAGGGGCCCAAUGGCUUCUCUAAUUAAGAAAAAACUCUUUCAGGCUACACAUGAUGAGGGGCCUGGGGGAUUAUGAAGGAGAAGGAAGCUGAGGACACAGACCCAGAGGACCAGAACUGAAACCCAGGCGAGAAAGGAGACUUGGCACCCGCCCUCUGUCACUGGGUUUAUUUGUCUCUCGGCUCAGCUGGCUUUGUUUGGCUGGACACAGAAAACCCUGGAGGGGAAUUCUGAUUCCAGCUUGUUCUUUGCACAGCUAAUUAUUUGGGGCUCCCAGAAGGUUGGAGAGAACAAUGACUCCCCCAGCAGUUACAGUCAGACUAGUUUAGUUCCUUUUUUUCACCACGGGGUCAGAACCACAGAAAGGGAGCUAUUUGUUUUGGUCUUAAACCAAAUCUGCCCUGAGACAUAGACAGAUGUUCUGAUGUGAGACCAGGAAAGCUACUAUUUUGAUGCCUAGCAAAAUUCUCCUCUCCUGUCUUCCCUGUCAGCCUAUAGACCCAUAAUAUGCAUUUUCCCUAUUUCUCUCCUUUGUAAAUAGGAAGUAAUCUUCAGGAAAAAAUUCUAUAUGCCAAGAAUUGCAUCCCUCCUCCCAAGUGAGAUAUUUCAUGUUUCCUAUGCAGAUAGGAUACAGACAAGCAGAGGAGCUAAUUGGGAGGGAUCAGUGAAACAGCGGAAGCUCCUUUGUACACAGCUUGCUAAUAAGUAUCCCCAAAUUUGUUCUAAUGGGAAAUGCAAGACAAGUCCCUUAAAAACAAAGAAACAGGAAAGAAAAAUAUACGCUGCAUAACUGUGAACACUAUAACAGAGUGGAAAAAUAUUCCAGCAACUCCAGAGAGACAGCUCCUACAUUCACCCAGAACUAUUGUCAAUGGUGUCCCCUCACUUUAAACAGAAUGAUAUGAAUUUAGUUGGCUGCUACAGGCUGCUUCUAGUCUUCCUGCAUGUAAAGACAUUUUCACUCUUGGCUAUUCUGAGAGAUUCAUUUGUAUUUAUUGUCAACAAGAUAAAUCCCUCAAAGACAAGGUAAGGCCCCUUUUCUGAUUGAACAGUUUCAUUUAUUCACCAAAUCAGGCAAUACCUGUUUAUGGAGCACCUUCUAAGAGCUAGGCGCUGUGUUAACUGCUGGAGAUAUAAACGUUGAGUCAAAACAAGGAUAGGCCCCACCCUCAAGACAUCCAGAGGGAGGAUGAUAUUAAUCAAAAGACCUCACCAAUACAAAACUGACUCACUGAAAGGUGUCUGAGGAGAGGUAUAUGGUACCAAGAAGACUGAAAACAAAGGAGUGCAGCUAAGGGGGUGUAACAAAGGCAAAGAAAGUGUCUCAGAAGAAGUAACUCUUGAGCUGAGGUUCAUACAGUGUAUGUACUAGAUAAGCGAAGGCCCUGUAAUGAGACUGAGAAGAAUGAACAUAGGGACUGAAAAAAGCCCAGCCUGAUUGGAGAAGAGAGCCCACAAAGGACAGCAAGAUGAAGAAGUGUUAACGGCAACCAGGCAAGGCCUUUUGGGUCAUUUUAGGAAUUAUAAGUAAUGAGAAACCAAUUGGGUUUUUUGUUUGUUUUUUGGUUUUGUUUGUUUGUUUGUUUAGGGCCAUACCCAUGGUGUAUGGAGGUUUACAAGCUAGGGGUCCAAUCAGAGCUGUAGCUGCCAGCCUACACCACAGCCAUAGCAACGCGAGAUCCAAGCCACAUCUGCGACCUACACCACAGUUCAUGGCAAAGCUGGAUCCUGAACCCACUGAGCGAGGACAGGGAUCAAACACGUGUCCUCAUGGAUACUAGUCAAGUUCGUUAACCACUGAGGCACAACAUGAACUCCCUGGGCUUUUUUUUUUUUUAUCAGGGUAUAGUGGUAGUCGCUGAUAUGACUGUAUUUAUGUAUUUUUUUCAUUUAUUUGAAAAAAAUGGAUUUGGGUAGAAGGGAGGCAGAGUGUGUUGAGGUAGGCCAGUCAUUCUAGACCUCCUGGACUACAGAAAUCUAGGAGGGAUAGUAAUUUGCCCUUGCAUGGUAUGGUGGUAGAGGUGACUGUGUAAAGGUGAUACAUUCCAACUAUACUUGCUAUGGGACCAACCCAAUGUUCCAGAGGCGUUGCAAUGGCCCAAGAGAGAUAUUAACUAUCAUUACUUAUUCUGUGAAGCUAAGACAUUUAGAAAGACCAAACUAAACAGGACCUGAACACAUCCAGCUAGACUCCCUCAUCCUAGCAGCAGAGUACCAC